AGUGAACGCUGGCGGUAGGCCUAACACAUGCAAGUCGAACGGCAGCACAGUAAGAGCUUGCUCUUACGGGUGGCGAGUGGCGGACGAGUGAGGAAUACAUCGGAAUCUACUUUUUCGUGGGGGAUAACGUAGGGAAACUUACGCUAAUACCGCAUACGACCUACGGGUGAAAGCAGGGGAUCUUCGGACCUUGCGCGAUUGAAUGAGCCGAUGUCGGAUUAGCUAGUUGGCGGGGUAAAGGCCCACCAAGGCGACGAUCCGUAGCUGGUCUGAGAGGAUGAUCAGCCACACUGGAACUGAGACACGGUCCAGACUCCUACGAGAGGGAGCAGUGGGGAAUAUUGGACAAUGGGCGCAAGCCUGAUCCAGCCAUACCGCGUGGGUGAAGAAGGCCUUCGGGUUGUAAAGCCCUUUUGUUGGGAAAGAAAAGCAGCAGGUUAAUACCCCGCUGUUCUGACGGUACCAAAAGAAUAAGCACCGGCUAACUUCGUG
rnacentral:rRNA from 1 species